rnacentral:pre_miRNA from 1 species
CAUCUACUCCCUCUGUCCGGAAAUACUCGUCGAAAAAAUGGAUGUAUCUAGACAUAUUUUAAUUCUAGAUACAUCCAUUUUUAUCCAUUUCUCCGACAAGUAUUUUCGGACGGAGGGAGUACAAA